rnacentral:rRNA from 1 species
CGGACCGGCGCACGGGUGAGUAACGCGUAUGCAACCUACCUAUCAGGAGGGAAGAACCCGGCGAAGUCGGACUAAUACCGCAUAAAACAGGGGUUCCACAUGGAAAUAUUUGUUAAAGAAUUAUCGCUGAUAGAUGGGCAUGCGUUCCAUUAGAUAGUUGGUGAGGUAACGGCUCACCAAGUCUACGAUGGAUAGGGGUUCUGAGAGGAAGGUCCCCCACACUGGUACUGAGACACGGACCAG